rnacentral:lncRNA from 1 species
GAAAAAUCUUAUUUAUUUAUUUCAUAUUUGUUUGUUAUAAAAGAAGAUGCAAGAUACAUAUCUCAGAAGAUGUAAGAUGUAUAUAUGUUUAGAUUUUUGCUUGCAUUAGCUUAUAUUCUACAUUUUCGUAAUGAUUAUUGUUUGGUUAGUUGUUAAAGUAAAAAUUGUUAGAUCAAAGUACAUAUUUAUAUAAACACAUUGUUUGUUUUAUAUUUAUCACAACUUCAUAUAGUCGUAGGCAGGUGGCAGAGAUCAAAUAUUGCAUAAAAUUAUAACAUUUCGCUUUAUUAUGUAUUAAUACCUCACGAAAUAUUAAUUCAAGAGUGUUUUAAUGCAUAAUAAUUCGUAAUCAACUAAAUAAUACGACUCGUUCUUUAAAACAAUUUCAAAUAUUUAAAUAUAGGUCACAUGGUUUUCAGUAAUAAUCGAAAAAUUUUAGUUCAAACCCGCUUUAAUAAAUCAGUUUUAUAAUGGUAUAAAAAUUAAAAUAACUCUGCUGGGAUUGGAAGGAUGAGAAAGGAGGGGGAUCUGUGCCCCAGUGCGAUCAUGGGGUCACGUUUGCUUUCGAGAGACUUAUAAUUUAGAAUUUCAGACAGUUAAGUGCCACUGAGGUGCCGCACGCGUCGGCAAGUGUCAUUUGACUUCAGAAAACGUACCCAAUUGUGGAUGCCACGUUCAGUCGCUGUAGAAAACUGUACCCAAAGAGUUGAAGCAAAACAUUCGCUUAAUUAUUUAGCGAAAAAUCGAACGCAUUAUUUAUGUAGGUAACAGAUGUGUUCUAUAGUAAUCGAUGUCUUUAACGAAACUGAUAGAUACACCUAUCAAUAUUACUCAUCUACACCAAUCGACUUCUCAUUGAAAAAGACGAAAACUUUCACUUUAUCGGGUUUAAAUUCCCAUUUCUCAUAUGUUAUGAUAAUUGUUAUCGGUCCUGUGCAACUCUUCAAAAAAAAAAAAAAUGCUUGUUGCAAGUACUCCACAAAUAAUGAUUUAUUGUAAUAAUUAUAAAGCUUUUUAUUCGUUUUAAUGCAAAUGGUUUUCAUAUCAUAUAGUACGAAAACUCGAGGUGUGUAAUGGGAGUAAUCGAUAUCGAUUAUCAUUGAAACGGGUAGGAUAAAGUAAUUAAAUUCUCCGUAAUGGUCAAUGAUAAAAACAUGAAAUAUUUUAAAUUGUAGACAUUUUUAUUAAUGCAUUAUUAUAUAUGUUGUUAGUAUGCAGUAUCAAUUUUGAUAUCACAUACUAUAGAUAUAUAUAUAUAUCCAGCAGUGGAUGAAAUAAGAAAUGCUGAUGAUGAUGAUCAGUUUUGAUGUAUAAAUUAAACCAAUUCUUUUUUUCGCGUACUUCUCUUCGUUUUAGAGGAGUAAUAAUAUUAAAUCCAUAAAUGGAUACUUUAUUAAGAAUAUGUCGGAAAUCAAAGAUAAUGUGGGGUAUAUAGUAUAUCCGAUAUGUUCACCUGGCCAUUAAAAAAAGGUUUAUAUCAUGUGAAAAGUGAAGAUUUCGGGAUGUAUCUUUGAGGAAGAACUCAAUGGCACGAGUAGAAUUAAUUGGCCAGUUAGUUGAUGGUUCCAUUCAACUAGUUUGCACUAAUAUAAAGUUCAAGAAAGUCGGAUAAUCUGUUUAACGUUUUUUUUCCUCUCUUUCAGCCCUCAUCCAGCGAUAGUCCCGGCAGGAGGUCAGAGACCAUCAGUGUUGGUAACGCC